rnacentral:miRNA from 1 species
AAAGGGUUAUAUUAUUCCA